rnacentral:tRNA from 1 species
GUGGGGUAAUAUCCCACAAGUCUUA